rnacentral:lncRNA from 1 species
AAAAAGUGAUGAGCCCUUGUAUGUCGUUCUGUUUCCAUAUUUGACAUUUCCGGGCACUGUCUUCCUAUACUUGGUAGAUUGCACCCCACCCACCGUGCCUGCACUUCUCAACAUUUGACUUCAGAAAGAAUAGAAAUAAUAGGUACCCUCAGUGUCAGAACAAUUUUAUGCAUCAACUGAGAGGAAGCUGGAUGCGUGGUAACAAGCAGUUUGAAAAUCUUACCUUUAGGACUCCCGUCGAGCUUACAUAACAAGCUCGCCUCACUACAGAGACCAACAGAGUUGGACGAGGGGACUGUCUACAGAAGCAUGCCUAGACCAUCUGGAUCCAAGAUACAAGGGGAACCAGAAGGAGGUUAGACCAUCCUCAAAGCAUCGGCCGGAGAUGAGCAAAGCCAAGAAGAUGCUUCAACUGGAUCUCCGUUACUGAUGGCAAGCUCCCAGUGCCUAUGAAGGUGACCUUAUCUUGAGAUGUCCAUGAAGCCCUGGAUAAGAAGCUAGCCCCACUACAAAGACCAACAGUUGGACCAGGGAACUCUUUAGAGAUCCAUGCAAGACCAUCUGGAUCCAAGAUCCACAGAGAGCCAGACUGGGUAAAACAAUCCUCAAGGCACUGGCCAGAGAUGAGCAGAGCCAAGGUGAACCCUCCCACUCCCCUGCUUGCUGUGCCACUGGCUAUCACUGGACCCAGAUAUCAAGCUCCAUCUGCCCCUCAGUUCCUCCCAAGGAGCCACGGGCUAACGUUGAACCCUAUGGAAAAAGAGAGCAACUGGAGACAGAAGCCAAAGAGGUGAUUUCCCGACGAACUCAGAGAAACACAACAGCUCAAUCCUGUUCCUGCUAAGGUCGCCGGUGGAAAAACGGUACCCGGAGCCAGGGACCAUGAGGCUCUCCCCAGUUUACAUAGACUCCCUGGUUCCUCUGGCCCCUGGAGCAGCUCCAGUGGUGCCCUGAAGCGGCAUUCUUAAUAUAGAAAUGGUGGUCUCCCAGGACACGCCACUUUCCCCGGCACUAACAAGUCUCUUCUGUUAGCUAUGUGGAUGGAGAACAUGACAGACAUGCUCUUUCUGCGUUCCAGGUGGUAAACUUUGCUAGGAAGACCUGGCUCCAGAGAAACUUGGGUCGACCUCAUUUCUGCAUCAAGCCUAUUUCUCUACAUCUCCCAGAGUCGGCUUUGGAGUGUUUCCUCUGAAUGUGGCUGCUCAUGUCAGGCCCAAGGCAAAGAGUAGGCUUAGGAUAGGAAGAGCACACAGGCUUUGGUGCAGAUAGGCAAGGUCCCGGGAGCUGCCCACACGCGCCCCUGCCUGGCAGCCUGUGCGGAG